rnacentral:lncRNA from 1 species
AUAGGAAGGAGGGUCCUUUCUCUUGGGGUGUGCGCAAAAAUUUGAAUUUCAGAUUUUUGAUUCUAAGGAUUUGAAAAGAGAGAAUAAAUUAGAAAAAAAAUAUUUUCUUCUUUAUCUUUUUUUACCUUUUUAUCUCCUCUAAAAGUUUAUCUUUAACUUCUAUAAAGAUUCUAAAAAUUUUAAAAAAAGAUCUAGAUCAGUCAAGAAGAAGGUUUUCGCACAAGCUAGCACUCCUGAGAAGACCG